rnacentral:rRNA from 1 species
GAUGAACGCUGGCGGCGUGCCUAAUACAUGCAAGUCGAGCGAACAGACGAGGAGCUUGCUCCUCUGACGUUAGCGGCGGACGGGUGAGUAACACGUGGAUAACCUACCUAUAAGACUGGGAUAACUUCGGGAAACCGGAGCUAAUACCGGAUAAUAUAUUGAACCGCAUGGUUCAAUAGCGAAAGACGGUUUUGCUGUCACUUAUAGAUGGAUCCGCGCUGCAUUAGCUAGUUGGUAAGGUAACGGCUUACCAAGGCAACGAUGCGUAGCCGACCUGAGAGGGUGAUCGGCCACACUGGAACUGAGACACGGUCCAGACUCCUACGGGAGGCAGCAGUAGGGAAUCUUCCGCAAUGGGCGAAAGCCUGACGGAGCAACGCCGCGUGAGUGAUGAAGGUCUUCGGAUCGUAAAACUCUGUUAUUAGGGAAGAACAAAUGUGUAAGUAACUAUGCACGUCUUGACGGUACCUAAUCAGAAAGCCACGGCUAACUACGUG